GUCGAGGGGCAGCGGGGUGUACCAAUACACUGCCGGCGACCGGCGCACGGGUGCGUAACGCGUAUGCAACCUACCCAUAUCAGGGGCAUAACACUGAGAAAUUGGUACUAAUUCCCCAUAACAUUCGAAGAGGCAUCUCUUUGGGUUGAAAACUCCGGUGGUUAUGGAUGGGCAUGCGUUGUAUUAGCUAGUUGGUGAGGUAACGGCUCACCAAGGCGACGAUACAUAGGGGGACUGAGAGGUUAACCCCCCACAUUGGUACUGAGACACGGACCAAACUCCUACGGGAGGCAGCAGUGAGGAAUAUUGGUCAAUGGACGCAAGUCUGAACCAGCCAUGCCGCGUGCAGGAUGACGGCUCUAUGAGUUGUAAACUGCUUUUGUACGAGGGUAAACUCACCUACGUGUAGGUGACUGAAAGUAUCGUACGAAUAAGGAUCGGCUAACUCCGUGCCAGCAGCCGCGGUAAUACGGAGGAUUCAAGCGUUAUCCGGAUUUAUUGGGUUUAAAGGGUGCGUAGGCGGUUAGAUAAGUUAGAGGUGAAAUCCCGGGGCUUAACUCCGAAAUUGCCUCUAAUACUGUUUGACUAGAGAGUAGUUGCGGUAGGCGGAAUGUAUGGUGUAGCGGUGAAAUGCUUAGAGAUCAUACAGAACACCGAUUGCGAAGGCAGCUUACCAAACUAUAUCUGACGUUGAGGCACGAAAGCGUGGGGAGCAAACAGGAUUAGAUACCCUGGUAGUCCACGCAGUAAACGAUGAUAACUCGCUGUCGGCGAUACACAGUCGGUGGCUAAGCGAAAGCGAUAAGUUAUCCACCUGGGGAGUACGUUCGCAAGAAUGAAACUCAGAGGAAUUGACGGGGGCCCGCACAAGCGGAGGAACAUGUGGUUUAAUU
rnacentral:rRNA from 1 species